rnacentral:rRNA from 1 species
AUCCUACGGGGGGCAGCAGUAGGGAAUCUUCCACAAUGGACGAAAGUCUGAUGGAGCAACGCCGCGUGAGUGAAGAAGAGUUUCGGCUCGUAAAGCUCUGUUGGUAGUGAAGAAAGAUAGAGGUAGUAACUGGCCUUUAUUUGACGGUAAUUACUUAGAAAGUCACGGCUAACUACGUUCCAGCAGCCGCGGUAAUACGUAGGUGGCAAGCGUUGUCCGGAUUUAUUGGGCGUAAAGCGAGUGCAGGCGGUUCCAUAAAUCUGAUGUUAAAGCCUUCGGCUCAAACGGAGAAUUGCA